GAUGAACGCUGGCGGCGUGCCUAACACAUGCAAGUCGAACGGAGCUGCUUUGAUGAAGUUUUCGGAUGGAUUUAAAGCAGCUUAGUGGCGGACGGGUGAGUAACGCGUGGGUAACCUGCCUCACACUGGGGGAUAACAGUUAGAAAUAGCUGCUAAUACCGCAUAAGCGCACGGUUCCGCAUGGAACAGUGUGAAAAACUCCGGUGGUGUGAGAUGGACCCGCGUCUGAUUAGCCAGUUGCGGGGUAACGGCCCACCAAAGCGACGAUCAGUAGCCGGCCUGAGAGGGUGAACGGCCACAUUGGGACUGAGACACGGGCCCAAACUCCUACGGGAGCAGCAGUGGGGAAUAUUGCACAAUGGGGGAAACCCUGAUGCAGCGACGCCGCGUGAGUGAAGAAGUAUUUCGGUAUGUAAAGCUCUAUCAGCAGGG
rnacentral:rRNA from 1 species